rnacentral:rRNA from 1 species
GUACUACGAAGUAUGACCGGCUCCAAUAGCCUAUGAUGGUCAAUGGCUGCAGCGUUCAACUGUACAAAGGUAGCAAAAGUCAUUAGCCUCUUGAUUGGAGGAUAGUCAUGAAUGGUCGAACCAGACUUCAACUGUUUCAAUAAACGAAUGAAGAAUUUGGGUUUCAGGUAAGAACACCUGAGUGCCUCGGUGGGACGAGAAGACCCUGUAGAUUUUUACCNCUAAGCUUUUNUAGUUUAAAUACUUACGUUACAAGCUAAUGAUUUAGGGUUUACCUGGGAAGGGGGAGAUAACAACUUCCAACUAUGAAGACUAACAAUGUCGUAUUAUUGAUCCCCAAUAUGGGAUAAUGGGAACAAAAUACCUCAGGGGUAACAGCAUAAUCCCUUCCUACCGAUCUCAGGUAGUGAUGGUGUUUGUGACCUCGAUGUUGAAUAGGGGUUACUUCGGGAUGCAGAAGACCCAGAAGUGAGUACUGUUCGACUCGUAAAUCCC